rnacentral:lncRNA from 1 species
CUACAACCCCAGAGGUCAUAUUCUAGUCUGGUCUGUCUCUCUACUACAACCCCAGAGGUCAUAUUCUAGUCUGGUCUGUCUCUCUACUACAACCCCAGAGGUCAUACUCUAGUCUGGUCUGUCUCUCUACUACAACCCCAGAGGUCAUAUUCUAGUCUGGUCUGUCUCUCAUCAACAACCCCAGAGGUCAUAUUCUAGUCUGGUCUGUCUCUCAUCAACAACCCCAGAGGUCAUAUUCUAGUCUGGUCUGUCUCUCAUCAACAACCCCAGAGGUCAUAUUCUAGUCUGUCUGUCUCUCAUCAACAACCCCAGAG